CACCGGGGGAUCGGGAGCGUUACCUGCUAUCUCUUACCCAUGUCUUUAGAGUACCUUACGUUUCCUCGGCGGGUCCGCCCGCCGAUUGGACAAUUUAAACCAUUUGCAGUUGCAAUCAGCGUCUGAAAAAACUUAAUAGUUACAACUUUCAACAACGGAUCUCUUGGUUCUGGCAUCGAUGAAGAACGCAGCGAAAUGCGAUAAGUAGUGUGAAUUGCAGAAUUCAGUGAAUCAUCGAAUCUUUGAACGCACAUUGCGCCCCUUGGUAUUCCAUGGGGCAUGCCUGUUCGAGCGUCAUUUGUACCUUCAAGCUCUGCUUGGUGUUGGGUGUUUGUCUCGCCUCUGCGUGUAGACUCGCCUCAAAACAAUUGGCAGCCGGCGUAUUGAUUUCGGAGCGCAGUACAUCUCGCGCUUUGCACUCAUAACGACGACGUCCAAAAGUACAUUUUUACACUCUUGACCUCGGAUCAGGUAGGGAUACCCGCUGAACUUAAG
rnacentral:rRNA from 1 species